rnacentral:rRNA from 1 species
GAUGAACGCUGGCGGCGUGCCUAAUACAUGCAAGUCGAGCGAACAGACGAGGUGCUUGCUCCUCUGUCGUUAGCGGCGGACGGGUGAGUAACACGUGGAGAACCUACCUUUAAGACUGGGAUAACUUCGGGAAACCGGAGCUAAUACCGGAUAAUAUAUUUAACCGCAAGGUUCAAUAUUGAAAGACGGAUUUGCUUUCCCUAAUAGAUGGAUCCGCUCGGAUUUGGUUAGUGGGGAGGGUAACGGCCUACCAAGCCGACGUUGAGUAGCCACCCUAAGGGGGUGAUCGGCCACACUGGACCUGGGACACGGCCCAGCCUCCUAGGGGAGGAGCCGGAAGGGAAUCUUGCGCAUUGGCCGAAGUCCUGCCGGACCACCGCCGGGUGAGUGAUGAAGGUCUUGGGAUCGUAAACCUCGGUUGUUGGGAAGAAAGAAAUGUGUAAGUAAAUGUGCACGUCUUGACGGUACCUACUCAGAAAGCCACGGCUAACUACGUG